ACAAAUUAAAUAAUAAUAAUAAUUAAAAAUAAAAAACACAAAACUUCUGGUUGGGGGUGGGAGAACCCCUGCCGGCCAACCCACCCCCGAUUGACGUCGCCGGUGGGCUCAGAACCCGCCGAUGACCUCGAUCUCCCUUGCCAACCACCCCACUCCCUUCAAUCGAGGUUGGUGGAUAUUAUACGCUGUAGUUUGUGAUAUUCGUAUGUUAUCUACCAUGUUUGGUACUACGAGAGAACAUGUGAAUGGGAAAAAAAAGAAAAAGAAAAGAUAGAUACGUAGGAUUGGCAGGCAGAAUGUUUGGACUCUGGAAUCGAUUACGCUGCCCAUUCGGAGUUUAUCUCCACUCCACUGUAAGUCUGUAACAUAAUUGCUCUUCGUGUGUAUUGCUGCAAUUGUAUGGAUCAUAAUUUGCAGUUGCAGUCACAAUCUUACCGAUGUAUAUCUCUUUGUUUUCCUUUACUUAGGUAAUUCUCUAUGCUGAAAUUUCAUGGUAUUGGGAUAUUCUCAUGCUUGAGUUGUUUGGGAUAAUUAAUUACAUUUUAGAGUAUCAUGGUUCUGCAAUAAGAUUUUUUGCAGGAUCAUAUGUGCUGCUUCGGGUAGUUUGGCACCCCAUUACAUUGCAGGGUGUGGAGUAGCAGAGAGGGAAAAGCUAUUGAAAGCGAAAUUCUUGCUGCUGAGAUAUAUCAAAUCCAUGCAUAUGUUUAAAUGACGCCCCUUGACAAGAGUAAGAGAUAGGCAACACGCAAGACAUUUUGUGCUCAUAGAGGUAUAUUUUGCCGGUGCAUCAUCGAGACAUUGAUGAAGGUUGCAGCAACAUCGGAUGACCAGGCCUUACCUAGAGAUUUGGCAAGCCCUCCGGGCACUGAUCCCUUCUCAGACGAGAUCACCAGAGACAUCUCUGUCCUCCAGCGACAUCGUCCGGGGAGGGAAGUCUGCCGGCUACCAGAGGGGACCCUAGUCGCAAUUACUUUAUUUUUAAAAUUAAAAUAACCAUAACAUUUUGUUAAAAACUAAAAAUAUACAAAAUUAUUAAAUAAAAAAAGGGCAAACUACAAAAACUCUCAUGUGAUUUGAGCUUAAGACAAAUUGGAUCCUGUGGUUUUUUGAUAGAUAAGUAAUAAGAUGUGGUUCACUUUGUGAAACAUAAUGAACCUCACUGCUAAUUUUUUUGUCACUUUUGCCACUCAAAUUUUUUUUAAUCAUUAUUAUCCUCAAACUUUCAACUUUUUUGUAAUUUGAUCCUAAAAUUCGGGAAAAAAAAAUGAAGUGGCUUAAGCCAUCGGUCGGCUAUUUUGACCCCACCACCGAGGUUGUCGAUGUCCACAGAGGACGCCAAAAACCUCGAGAGUGGGGUCGGAUCACCAAUUGGUGGCCCCAACCCCCGAAUCGACC